CCUACGGGAGGCAGCAGUAAGGAAUAUUGGUCAAUGGGCGAAAGCCUGAACCAGCCACGCCGCGUGAAGGAAGACGGCCCUACGGGUUGUAAACUUCUUUUCUACGGGAAUAAACCUCAGGACGUGUCCUGAGCUGAAGGUACCGUAGGAAUAAGGAUCGGCUAACUCCGUGCCAGCAGCCGCGGUAAUACGGAGGAUCCAAGCGUUAUCCGGAUUUAUUGGGUUUAAAGGGUGCGUAGGUGGGAGAAUAAGUCAGAGGUGAAAGCUAGCAGCUUAACUGUUAAAUUGCCUUUGAUACUGCUUUCCUUGAGUCUAGUUGGCGUUGGCGGAAUGUGACAUGUAGCGGUGAAAUGCGUAGAUAUGUCACAGAACACCGAUCGCGAAGGCAGCUAGCGAAGCUAGUACUGACACUGAUGCACGAAAGCGUGGGGAGCAAACAGGAUUAGAUACCCUGGUAGUCCACGCCGUAAACGAUGAUAACUCGACGUUGGCAAUAUACUGUUCUAGCGUCCACGACGAAGACGUUAAGUUAUACCACCGUCGGGUAGGUACGAUCGCGAGGUUAGUAACGUACGAAGGAAGUUAGACGGCGUGAGACGUGCCGACGGACGACCGACGACGGGAGGUUAGG
rnacentral:rRNA from 1 species